UACGUAGGGGGCAAGCGUUAUCCGGAUCUACUGGGUGUAAAGGGAGCGUAGACGGCUGUGCAAGCCAGAUGUGAAAGCCCGGGGCUCAACCCCGGGACUGCAUUUGGAACUGUGUAGCUGGAGUGUCGGAGAGGCAGGCGGAAUUCCUAGUGUAGCGGUGAAAUGCGUAGAUAUUAGGAGGAACACCAGUGGCGAAGGCGGCCUGCUGGACGAUGACUGACGUUGAGGCUCGAAAGCGUGGGGAGCAAACAGG
rnacentral:rRNA from 1 species